UACGUAGGGCGCAAGCGUUGUCCGGAAUUAUUGGGCGUAAAGAGCUCGUAGGUGGCUUGUCACGUCGGGUGUGAAAGCUUGGGGCUUAACUCCAGGUCUGCAUUCGAUACGGGCUGGCUAGAGGUAGGUAGGGGAGAACGGAAUUCCUGGUGUAGCGGUGAAAUGCGCAGAUAUCAGGAGGAACACCGGUGGCGAAGGCGGAUCUCUGGGCCUUACCUGACGCUCAGGCGCGAAAGCUAGGGGAGCGAACAGG
rnacentral:rRNA from 1 species